AGCUGUGUGGUGAGCACAGAGCGAACUAUUCUUUCGCCUUUUACUAAAGAAUACCGUGUGUUCGCCACUUAAAGCAGCAUACGCCUAUUUUUGGAGGGAUUCUCCUUUUAGGAGCAAU